UUGAGCUGUUGAAACACCUUUAGAAUGAUGGAACACAACAUGAUUUUGGAAAAUAAACCGAUCGAGGACGACUGCCAUCUAAAAUGCAAGCGACACCUCAUCAGUUUGUUCGGUGAAUCAGCUGCAGAGUAUUUUCUCAGCCCUUCCUCUUGCUCGAAGGAAAUACCCUCUUGGUUUUUACAGCUAAAAGAUGACAUGAAAGAUCACAUGAGUACAGUUACCCUAUGGGAUGCUCUGAGACAACGCUCUGCACAGAUACUGCAAGAAUCAAACACAGAGCCCUCGAUGGCGAUUACUAAUGAGAUUGUGAGAAGGGUGACAGACUGGAAGACACUCAAGAAACAGGAUCAUCUGAUGUACCUAUCAGAGAAUCAACCAAAUGGUGAGGUGAAACAUCAACACAAGGGGAGUGUUGAAAUCAGGGAUAUGUCUCAGAUGAGCAAGACAUUUAGGACAUAGGCAAACUGUAUUUUUUUUCUGUAACUUUUAAUGUUCAGUUGCCCCAUUUAAAAACUUGCACAGGCUUGAUAAAUGAGUCAGUUAAUGUGAUGCACUGUAGUAGGCAUUUGUACUUGCCCUUCCCUACCAUCGGAGGGCAGCAGAUUGUGAAUUUGGCUUUUAAUCUUAUUACCGAAAUAAUUCUUUUUCUCUAGCACUCAUCUGGUUUUUGCUUCAGGACCCAGACUGUACUUAUCCAACACAUAUAUAAAAACAAUAUUAUAACCUGUAUAUAUUGCCAUCUGUGUCAUAUUUUAUUGUGUGCAGUUAGACUUGAUAAGCAUAUUUUGUUUGAUAUUUAAUCUUGCUAUUAUAUUUUAUGUUUUUGAUUUUUGCAUUUAGCAUUGUUUUGUUUUUUUACCUGUGAAUCUAUGACUCUAGGCCCACCAGUUAAGUAACUGUAAUUAGCCUAUAUAAAAGCUGAAUACACAAUUUCAUUUUUUCCCCCUUGCAUUACAUUAUCUCUUCUGUGCCUCGUUAAUGUAUAUCUCAGCAAGUCAAGUAUAUCUUCAGGUGUUCAGCCUAUGUGCAACAAAGAUACCUGUUAACAGGUGAGAAGUCACUUGACAGGAGGCAGUGUCUCCACGUCACGUUGAAAUGACAUGAAACGAUAAGUGAGUGAAACAGUUUUUAGUGAAUAAAUACGUCAUUUAAUUUAAGUGGUGCAUCAUGCCUGCUAUCGUCAAUAAACUUAAGUUGCAGUAGGUGGUAAUACAUUUGCAGGGUGUCAUAUAAACAAGUUAAAUUUAAGAAUUUAAUUUAAAGACCUUGUUAAUACCAUCUUAUAUGAAAUUUAAGACCAAACCUAGAUUACAUGCAUGCACCGAUGAUUUUUAAUGGCUGAUUCAGGUUUUUUUUUUUUUUAAGCAAAUUUAUUUGUUGUUUAUUUGCUCUAUAGAAGGCAAACUGGCUUAAACAUGUAUAUUUUUCUUCCUAUGUUUCGAGCAAGGUGAACAUCUUGCUCUGGCUGCUGUAAACGGUCUGUCAGACUGGAGAAAUUUUUGCGGUAACCAAAAACAUUUUAAAUCCACCAAAACUGAAUUUAAGAGAACUUAAUACGUUUUAAAGGCCUUUAAUUAGGAAAACGUUAUUUAAACCUGGACGCUUAACUAUUAAAUAAAACUAGAACAUGACUACAAAAUGACUAAAAAACAAACGCAGUGGAGACUGUCUCCUUAUUUACAAGAUCACCAUAAAGUUACAAACGGGCGUAUACAUUAAACGUGUCAUUUGAGGACUAUGUAAAACACAAGCCAUGACGUUGUCAUACAAACACAGUUACCUGUUCAAUACAGCGCGAGGAAAAACCGCGUGGACUCCACCUUCAGAAGUGAGCUUAGUUUGUAUAUAAACAGGUGAACGCGCUGCUCGCGAGAGGAGCGCUGCUGCUGCUGCUUAUGAGAGUCAACCCACAGGUAAGAGUUAAAUCUCUGCUGUCUAACUUUGUACUUUGAUUCAUUUACAUGCACUUUUACCGGUUUUAAUCUUAUUUUUAAAAGAUUAAACUCUUAGUAUGUUGCACAUAUAAACUGGGAAGCCACAAUUUAUAUGAACUUCUGAUUUCAAGUGCAGUGCUGCACAUUUCCCGU
ensembl:lncRNA